AUGGGAGGAGGAGAUUAUCACCAGCAGAGCCUCAUCGGCGGUGCGGCUGUUCAUGGCCAUGGAGGGGGAGGGGGCGGCACCGUGGAGGCUGCGCUGAGGCCGCUCGUCGGCGGCUCCCACGGCUGGGACUACUGCAUGUACUGGCAGCUCUCUCCUGACCAGAGGUUCUUGGAGAUGGCGGGGUUUUGCUGCAGCGCCGAGUUCGAGGCGCAGGUCGCCACGCUCGCCGACGUCCCUUGCUCCAUCCCUCUUGACUCCUCCUCCAUCGGGAUGCACGCUCAGGCGCUACUGUCGAACCAGCCAAUCUGGCAGAGCAGCGGCGGGGCGCCGGGCCCGGAUCUCCUCACGGGCUACGAGGCUGCCUCCAGCGGUGGCGAGAAGACGCGGCUCCUCGUCCCAGUCGCCGGGGGCAUCGUCGAGCUCUUCGCGUCGAGAUAUAUGGCGGAGGAGCAGCAGAUGGCGGAGCUGGUCAUGGCGCAGUGUGGUGGCGGUGGGCAGGGGUGGCAGGAGACGGAGGCGCAGGGGUUCGCGUGGGACGCGGCGGCGGCAGCAGACCCCGGGCGGCUCUACGCGGCGGCGUCGCUCAACCUGUUCGACGGUGCCGGGGGAAGCGGCUCCGGCGAGCCGUUCCUGGCGGGAGUGCAGGAGGACGGCGCGGCGGGCGUGGGGUGGCAGUACGCGGCAGAGAGCAGCGAGCCGCCGUCGACAGUGGCGCAGGAGCAUCAGCAGCUGCACGGGCAGCACGGCUCGGGCGUGGGGAGGGCGGAUUCGGGGUCGGAGGGGAGCGAUAUGCAGCUGGGGGACCCCGACGACGACGUCGACGGCGAGACGCAGAGGGGCUCUGGCAAAGACGGCUGCGGGAAGCGGCAGCAGUGCAAGAACCUCGAGGCGGAGCGGAAGCGGCGCAAGAAGCUCAACGACCGCCUCUACAAGCUCCGGUCCCUCGUCCCCAACAUUACCAAGAUGGACCGUGCGUCGAUCCUCGGGGACGCGAUCGACUACAUCGUGGGGCUGCAGAAGCAGGUGAAGGAGCUGCAGGACGAGCUGGAGGACCCGAACCCGCCGGGGGGCACCGGCGGCGACAGCAAGGCCCCGGACGUGCUCCUCGACGACCACCCGCCGCCGGGCCUCGACAACGACGAGGACUCGCCGCAGCAGCAGCCGUUCCCAUCCGCCGGCGGCAAGCGGCCCUGGAAGGAGGAGGCGGGCGAGGAGGAGGAGAUGGAGGCGGAGGACCAUGACAUGGAGCCGCAGGUGGAGGUCCGGCAGGUGGAGGGGAAGGAGUUCUUCCUGCAGGUGCUGUGCUCCCACAAGUCCGGGCGCUUCGUCCGCAUCAUGGACGAGAUCGCCGCCCUCGGCCUCCAGAUCACCACCGUCAACGUCACCUCCUACAACAAGCUCGUCCUCAACGUCUUCCGCGCCGUCAUGAAGGACAACGAGGCGGCGGUGCCGGCGGACAGGGUGAGGGACUCGCUGCUGGAGGUGACGAGGGAGAUGUACGGCGGGGGCGGCGCGUGGUCGUCCCCGGUCCCUCCGCCGCCGCUGACAAACGCGAAGCUCGAUGGCAUGGACGGGCAGGCGGUGCCGGCGGCGGCCGCGGACCACUACCAACUGCACCACCAGGUGCUGGGAGGAUAUCAUCACCAGCAUCUGCAGUACCUCGCCAUGGAUUGA
rnacentral:rRNA from 1 species